UUCUUCUUCAGGACCUGAACAGAAUACUAACAGACCGUCAAGAUGUCAACGCUCUUCAUGGUUUGCUUCCUUUAUCUGCCAUGUAUUAAGGGUGCCUCUAAUACCAACAGUGUCAUCCAAACGCCUCCUUUCAUCAUUAAGAGAACCGGUGAAUCGGUUUCCAGUGAGAUCAACUGUUCACACAGCAUGACAGGCUAUGAUCGAAUUCUGUGGUACAAACAAGACGAGCAGAAAGCUCUAAAGCUCCUGGGAUAUCUGAAUGUGAUGCACCCAUACCCCGAGGACGACGUGAAAGGAAAAAUCAGCUUUGACGGAGAUGGCCGUAAACAUUCCGACAUCACUGUUUCUGGUCUGUCAUUAAAUGACAACGGUGUGUAUUUCUGUGCUGCUAGUCGGCACAGUGCUGCAGAUUCCCCUCACGUCAACACAAAAACUCUUAUCUGUCUGCAGAGAGACAACAUGUUGAGUCUCUAGAACACCUGCAGCUUUGAAGAUUACAUAUUACUGUUAAGACACAAGUGUGACCCACUCUAAGGAUAAAACUACUGCCAACACACAGUCAUUGUGUCACUGUGUGAAAUUGUAGAUUGUUUAAGUAUUUCAAUAUUACAAUUGUGGAUUAUUGUUGGGUUCAGGUUCAGGAGGAUCUGAAAGGAAGUCCCAGAACACAAAUGAUGUCCCCAAAGGAAAACAUUGUUAACAUUGUUAUCUAAUAAGACACAUUUCAAUGUUUCUGUCAUCUUACUUUAAUUGUAUUGCUGCAUGAUGCAAUUCUCAUGUCCAAUUUAUAUAAUAA